rnacentral:rRNA from 1 species
GUAGGUGGCAAGCGUUGUCCGGAAUUAUUGGGCGUAAAGCGCGCGCAGGCGGUUCUUUAAGUCUGAUGUGAAAGCCCACGGCUCAACCGUGGAGGGUCAUUGGAAACUGGAGAACUUGAGUACAGAAGAGGAAAGCGGAAUUCCACGUGUAGCGGUGAAAUGCGUAGAGAUGUGGAGGAACACCAGUGGCGAAGGCGGCUUUCUGGUCUGUAACUGACGCUGAGGCGCGAAAGCGUGGGGAGCAAACAGGGAUUAGAUACCCUGGUAGUCCACGCCGUAAACGAUGAGUGCUAAGUGUUAGGGGGGUUUCCGCCCCCUUAGUGCUGCAGCUAACGCAUUAAGCACUCCGCCUGGGGAGUACCGGCCGCAAGGCUG